rnacentral:rRNA from 1 species
CUUUUUGUCUGGCGACCGGCGCACGGGUGAGUAACACGUAUCCAACCUGCCUUUACUCGGGGAUAGCCUUUCGAAAGAAAGAUUAAUACCCGAUAGCAUAAUGAUUCCGCAUGGUUUCAUUAUUAAAGGAUUCCGGUAAAGGAUGGGGAUGCGUUCCAUUGGGUUGUUGGUGAGGUAACGGCUCACCAAGCCUUCGAUGGAUAGGGGUUCUGAGAGGAAGGUCCCCCACAUUGGAACUGAGACACGGUCCAA